rnacentral:rRNA from 1 species
UACGAAGGGGGCUAGCGUUGCUCGGAAUCACUGGGCGUAAAGGGUGCGUAGGCGGGUCUUUUAAGUCAGGGGUGAAAUCCUGGAGCUCAACUCCAGAACUGCCUUUGAUACUGAGGAUCUUGAGUUCGGGAGAGGUGAGUGGAACUGCGAGUGUAGAGGUGAAAUUCGUAGAUACUCGCAAGAACACCAGUGGCGAAGGCGGCUCACUGGCCCGAUACUGACGCUGGAGGCACGAAAGCGUGGGGAGCAAACAGGG